GGAAUGGCGGCGUGCUAUACAUGCAAGUCGAGCGAACGGAUAAGGAGCUUGCUCCUUUGAAGUUAGCGGCGGACGGGUGAGUAACACGUGGGUAACCUACCUAUAAGACUGGAAUAACUUCGGGAAACCGGAGCUAAUGCCGGAUAACAUAUAGAACCGCAUGGUUCUAUAGUGAAAGAUGGUUUUGCUAUCACUUAUAGAUGGACCCGCGCCGUAUUAGCUAGUUGGUAAGGUAAUGGCUUACCAAGGCGACGAUACGUAGCCGACCUGAGAGGGUGAUCGGCCACACUGGAACUGAGACACGGUCCAGACUCCUACGGGAGGCAGCAGUAGGGAAUCUUCCGCAAUGGGCGAAAGCCUGACGGAGCAACGCCGCGUGAGUGAUGAAGGUUUUCGGAUCGUAAAACUCUGUUAUUAGGGAAGAACAAAUGCGUAAGUAACUGUGCGCAUCUUGACGGUACCUAAUCAGAAAGCCACGGCUAACUACGUGCCAGCAGCCGCGGUAAUACGUAGGUGGCAAGCGUUAUCCGGAAUUAUUGGGCGUAAAGCGCGCGUAGGCGGUUUCUUAAGUCUGAUGUGAAAGCCCACGGCUCAACCGUGGAGGGUCAUUGGAAACUGGGAAACUUGAGUGCAGAAGAGGAAAGUGGAAUUCCAUGUGUAGCGGUGAAAUGCGCAGAGAUAUGGAGGAACACCAGUGGCGAAGGCGACUUUCUGGUCUGUAACUGACGCUGAUGUGCGAAAGCGUGGGGAUCAAACAGGAUUAGAUACCCUGGUAGUCCACGCCGUAAACGAUGAGUGCU
rnacentral:rRNA from 1 species